ensembl:lncRNA
CUUUGGAUCCACAAGCCUCAGUGCUUCCCCACAGGCAGCCAUGACUUCUGAAGUCAGAGAAAAAUGGGCUCUUAACGUCAGUAAGUUUCCUUCAAGUAUGAGAGUUAAUAAUUGUAACCUGUAACUAUUAGCUCAAGCCAUAGAGGCCUAUCUCAGUCAAAAUUAAUUUGGAGUCUGAUUCCUUGCAAUGCCAAAUACCUUAAAGGCUCAGAGUCUUGAGUAUUAGUAACACCUUCACCAACAUGAACUAGUUGCAAAGUGUCUACAUUCAAGAGAAAGAAAUUGGUCAAACUGGCUGGGAAAAAAAAAUAAUCAAUAUUUAAAAACUUAAUUUGGUUCCAGUGCAUGCUCAUUUGAUAUUCAGAAAGAGACAUGGUUUCAGACAAGCCACCUCAGAAGUGCUCUCAGUGAAGAACAUUUUCCUAACACCCAACCUGACCCACCCAUGCAGCUCCAUGCUAUUCCCUCAGGUCCUGUCACUGUCACCAGAGAGCAGAGCUCAGCACUGCCACUCCACUCCCUGCAAGUAGGCCUCCAUGAGGCCUCUCCACAGCCUCCCCUGCUCUGCGCUGAACAAACCCAGGGACCUCAGCUGCUCCUCACAUGUCUUGCCCUCUAGACCCUUCACAAUCUUCACAGCCUCCUCUUUUGGAUGCUUUCUAACAGUUUUAUGUCUUCCUUAUGUUGGGAAGCCCAAACCUGCACACAGUGCUUGUGGUGAGGCUGCAUCAUGACAGAGCAGAGCAGGACAGUCCCUUCCCUUGACAGGCUAACAAUGCUGUGCUGUUGUUUAAUUAGAAAAUUAUGGCAAGUUUAAUUAUGGAAAGUUCAGAAUUCAACAGCAGUAUACUUGAGAUAGUUCCAGGACAGAAGGGAUGAAGACAAGAAGAGGGGCCAGUGGGAUGUGAGCAGUUGGCACCAGUUUCUGGAUACCAUCAUUCUCAGGCCUAAGCCUGGCAACUCAACAAAUUUCUGUCAACAUAACAUCUCUAGUAUUUCACCAGGAGACAACAUCUAAUUUCCAGUAAUUUUGGCUACUGGAGUCUAGGUUGCUGUGGUUGGAUGUUCAACUUUGUGUCAGGAGCUUUAGGUCCAUUCCUGUCAGUAUCACAGAGACAAGCAGCUGGGUUAGGUCCUUCACACCUAAAAAGGAAAUGUCAACUCAGUACAAUUCAGCAGGCCUCUUAGGCUUAUUUCAUCUAAGCACAUACAGGCAACCAUAGUUUUUGAAUGACAGGUGCUGUGAAAUAUUUUAAAAAAAUAAAUUUAAAGAGAAUAGAAUAGGGCUUUAAUUUGAAGAAAGGAAUGGGAAGAAAGUUGAAAGCCUCUUGCCAUCGUGGAUGAAAUAAGCUUAUGAAAGAUGACAUAGAUGUAUGGCAGAUAAAGAGAAGAGCCUGAAUGUUUUUUUUUGUUUGUUUGUUUUUAAGGAAGAUAUAGGGAAACGUGAAAAUCUAAGAUGCAGCAAGAGGACAUGGCUGGCAUGAGGUUACCAUGAAAUAACUGAAUGAAAUAAAGGGAUAAGACCAGAAGCUUCUAGAGGGACUUCAGAAUACACAUUAGCAUCUGGAGUUUGGACUAGCCCUAAGAGAAAAUGAAAGAGACAGACUCAGACUUGGAGGAAAUAGAAAGAAGUAAUGUUAGUAUCAUGACCAUGUAUUAAAUCAAAACAGUCAUAUCUUACCUACAUUAAAAAAAAGCAUUUUUGUAGGGAAUUCUUCUAUUAAGAAAAUGCAGGAAAUGCAAUUGCUUAGCUUGCCAGUUAAAUCCAGCAUCUAAACAUUUCUAUUUUCAUUAAAAACAAAUUAAGUUGUUCUGAGAAAUUUAAUACUCAAACUCUCUAAAGAGAUCUUUGUAAGAGGAUUUCUAAGGACCCAGCUGUUAAAGACUUUCCACUAGCAAGAUCAGAAAUGUGCAAAGACAUCUUUGAAAAAAUUAUAUCCCCCUGUAGGCUAUUCAGGGCUUCUUUAUUUUUAAUUCAUGCUGUUACCAAAAUAUCUGAGAAAUAAAAGUAACGUAUCAGAAACUCAUUAACUCUUCCUCCCCUCUAUUCUGUUACACAUGCAGUACACAAAACUUUAGAAGGAAAUUCUUUCUUUGUGUUUUAUUUCAGCCAUAAAACACGUUAUAGUACUAUUGAAUACUGCAAGAUACAUUAUGCUCCUAUGGCCUCAUGCCCUGUGGCCAAGACACGUGGAUGAGGCAGCUGAGUGUACGCCCUGUCGUGUGUACUCACUUUUUAUUGUCCAUUCAAAAAACAUCAGUUUGAAAAGGAACAGAACUGAUGCCAAGAGUACUCCAACCUGGACAAAACCUGAGACAGCCGAACUUAUAGCUAAACUGCAAGUAAAUCUGUACUCUGACUCCCUAUGCUGGAAGAAUAUUUAGUUGAUUAACUUUUCUAUUGCCACACUCUGCUUCCCUGUUACAACUAGGACUGUCAGUGGUAUCAAUAUUAAAUGAAGUUGCUCUGAAGUUGAAGUUUUUUGUUUGUUCGUUUUUUAAAAAGGAGGAACAUGUUUUUAGGCUGAAAAAAAGUAUGCACACAUAUGUACAGCUACGUUAAUUUUCAGAAAUACAGCGCUUUGUACAGGGCUCUGCCUACUCUCCCAAAUCUACAUCUGCUGACUGAGUAGGCACUCAUUUGGUUACAAGGCUUUUGAAACAAUCCUUAUGUUCAUGUAGCAAAGAACAAGCAUCCACUGCCAGAACCAUUGCCUGGGAACCUUCCGGUAGGAGAUUCAAAUAGAGUUGUAGAAGCAGUCUUUUUAAUGUAUAGUUUGCGUGCCAGGCAAAACUGUUGUGCUGGCAAAUUAACAGGUAUGUCUACAGAUAUGGGAAGAAAGCAUAUUUCCAAUUAAAUGAGAUGAUCUGUCCUAUUUUGUGGUUGUUUUUUUUUUUUGCAUGCAAAGAUGUCCC